rnacentral:rRNA from 1 species
GAUGAACGCUGGCGGCGUGCCUAAUACAUGCAAGUCGAGCGAACGGACGAGAAGCUUGCUUCUCUGAUGUUAGCGGCGGACGGGUGAGUAACACGUGGAUAACCUACCUAUAAGACUGGGAUAACUUCGGGAAACCGGAGCUAAUACCGGAUGAUAUUUUGAACCGCAUGGUUCAAAAGUGAAAGACGGUCUUGCUGUCACUUAUAGAUGGAUCCGCGCUGCAUUAGCUAGUUGGUAAGGUAACGGCUUACCAAGGCAACGAUGCAUAGCCGACCUGAGAGGGUGAUCGGCCACACUGGAACUGAGACCCGGUCCAGACUCCUACGGGAGGCAGCAGUAGGGAAUCUUCCGCAAUGGGCGAAAGCCUGACGGAGCAACGCCGCGUGAGUGAUGAAGGUCUUCGGAUCGUAAAACUCUGUUAUUAGGGAAGAACAUAUGUGUAAGUAACUGUGCACAUCUUGACGGUACCUAAUCAGAAAGCCACGGCUAACUACGUG